GUAACUGGUCUGAGAGGAUGAUCAUUCACACUGNAACUGANACACNGUCCAGACUCCUACGGGAGGCAGCAGUGGGGAAUAUUGAACAAUGGGCNAAAGCCUGAUCCAGCCAUGCCGCGUGUGUGAANAAGGNCUUCGGAUUGUAAANCACUUUAAUUUGGGAGGAAGGGCAGUAAAUUAAUACUUUGCUGUUUUGACGUUACCGACANAAUAAGCACCGGCUAACUCUGUGCCAGCAGCCGCGGUAAUACAGAGGGUGCAAGCGUUAAUCGGAAUUACUGGGCGUAAAGCGCGCGUAGGUGGUUAGUUAAGUUGGAUGUGAAAUCCCCGGGCUCAACCUGGGAACUGCAUUCAANACUGACUGACUAGAGUAUGGUAGAGGGUGGUGGAAUUUCCUGUGUAGCGGUGAAAUGCNUAGAUAUAGNGANGGAACACCANUGGCGAAGGCGACCACCUGGACUGAUACUGACACUGAGGUGCGAANGCGUGGGGGAGCAAACAGGAUUAGAUACCCUG
rnacentral:rRNA from 1 species